ensembl:snRNA U6 U6 spliceosomal RNA
GUGCUCACUCUGGCAGCACAUAUACUAAAAUUGGAAAAUAGAGGUUAGCAUGGCCCCAGGAUGACACGCAAAUCUGUGAAGCAUUCCAAAAAAAG